rnacentral:misc_RNA from 1 species
GAUGAAGAACGUAGCGAAAUGCGAUAAGUAGUGUGAAUUGCAGAAUUCAGUGAAUCAUCGAAUCUUUGAACGCACAUUGCGGCCAUAGGUAUUCCUUUGGCCAUGCCUGUUCGAGCGUCAUUUACACCCUCAAGCCUAGCUUGGUGUUGGGCGCCUGUCCCGCCGUUUUCGCGCGCGGACUCGCCUCAAAGUCAUUGGCGGCGGUCGUGCCGGCCCCCUCGCGCAGCACAUUUGCGCUUCUCGGAGGCCCGGCGGAUCCGCGCUCCAGCAAGACCUUUCACGACUUGACCUCGGAUCAGGUAGGGAUACCCGCUGAACUUAAGCAUAUCAAAAGCGGAGGA